GCAUGGGUGGUUCAGUGGUAGAAUUCUUGUUUGCCACACAGGAGGCCCGGUUCAAUUCCCGGCCCAUGCA
rfam:Cavia porcellus supercont2_3 genomic scaffold, whole genome shotgun sequence.